ACAUUCCAGCCUGGGCAACAGAGUGAAACCCUGUCUCAAAAAAAAGCAGCAACUUCUCUCUGGGAAAGGCAGGUCUUGUGACAGAGGCAAACGAGAGAUGGCAGAAUCUCACAGUGGCAUUUAUAACUUCUGCUUUGAAGUGGCAACAUUUCCAUUCACAUGUCAUUGGCCAAAGCAAGUCAUGUCCAAACUAAUAUCAAUGCAAAGCAUAAUCCCAUAAGGACACAUCUGAUAUAGAGGGGCAGUGAAAAUGUCAACAAUAAUAUAAUCUAUGAGAGGAUACAGAAGCAUAACCAGUAAAUGUUAGUGUCCUUCCCUUUCCUCUUUUCCCUUACUGGUUCCCCCUGAGAAACACAAGUGUACAGCAUGGAGAGGCUGUGUGAUGUCAUAAUUAAGAGUGUAGAUUCUGAGAACAGACUGCCUGAGUUCAAAUCCUUACUCUGCCAUUUUCCAGCUGUGUGGCUUUGGGCAAGUUAUUUAACCUCUCUGUGCCUCAACUUCUUCAUGUAAACUGGCAGUAAUAAUAAUACGAAUGCCACAGAGCUGUGGAUGAAAUGAGCCCAUUCCGGUCUGGCUUCUUUAACCAGGAAGAUGUGGGCUGAGAGCUGUGGAGUAGAUGUCUUCACCAGAUGAGUACACAGAGAAGUAGAGAAUGUGUAUCUGCAGAGUAGGAUGAAGCAGAGACAAGAUGAAUUUAAGUGAAUAAUGAUGCCAAAGCAUCUCAUGGAAAAAAAAACAUGAAUAAAAAGCAUUGCUCUAAAUGUAACGUUAUCAAAAUCACUGGUUAAAGCAACAUAUAGCACUCUUGUUUUUGAUACCAGUCUUGUGAAUAAGGUAUUCAGGAAGCACAGCUGUCUUUUGUUCCUGAAGCCGUAUCAGGAUUCAGCAGGAAAGAGCACCAAGAUCACUUGGCAAUGUUUAUCCUGAUCAAGCACGGGCACUGAUGGCAGGAUGUCAAUGUUGAAAAGCAGGUUAUUUAAUUCUGCUAUUUAAAAGUGGCUACGGACCAGGCGCAGUGGCUCACGCCUGUAAUCCCAGCACUUUGGGAGG
rnacentral:lncRNA from 1 species